UACGGGGGGGGCAAGCGUUGUUCGGAAUUACUGGGCGUAAAGGGCUCGUAGGUGGCCAACUAAGUCAGACGUGAAAUCCCCAGGCUCAACCUGGGAACUGCGUCUGAUACUGGAUGGCUUGAAUUCGGGAGAGGGAUGCAGAAUUCCAGGUGUAGCGGUGAAAUGCGUAGAUAUCGAGAGGAACACCGGUGGCGAAGGCGGCCAACUGGACGAAUACUGACGCUGAGACACGAAAGCGUGGGGAGCAAACAGG
rnacentral:rRNA from 1 species